rnacentral:rRNA from 1 species
UACGAAGGGGGCUAGCGUUGCUCGGAAUUACUGGGCGUAAAGCGCACGUAGGCGGCUUUCUAAGUCGGGGGUGAAAUCCUGGAGCUCAACUCCAGAACUGCCUUCGAUACUGGAGAGCUUGAGUCCGGGAGAGGUGAGUGGAACUGCGAGUGUAGAGGUGAAAUUCGUAGAUAUCGAGAGGAACACCGGUGGCGAAGGCGGCCUUCUGGACAGUGACUGACGCUGAGACGCGAAAGCGUGGGGAGCAAACAGG